AUACGGAGGAUCCGAGCGUUAUCCGGAUUUAUUGGGUUUAAAGGGAGCGUAGGCGGACGCUUAAGUCAGUUGUGAAAGUUUGCGGCUCAACCGUAAAAUUGCAGUUGAUACUGGGUGUCUUGAGUACAGUAGAGGCAGGCGGAAUUCGUGGUGUAGCGGUGAAAUGCUUAGAUAUAACGAAGAACUCCGAUUGCGAAGGCAGCCUGCUGGACUGUAACUGACGCUGAUGCUCGAAAGUGUGGGUAUCAAACAGGAUUAGAUACCCUGGUAGUCCACACAGUAAACGAUGAAUACUCGCUGUUUGCGAUAUACAGUAAGCGGCCAAGCGAAAGCGUUAAGUAUUCCACCUGGGGAGUACGCCGGCAACGGUGAAACUCAAAUGAAUUGACGGGG
rnacentral:rRNA from 1 species